UGACGGAAUCCUACGGUGGUCUGUUUUGUGAACCUCGUCAGGACAGAGAUGGAGCAGCGAUAAGCAAAAAACGCAUGCGAUAGGAAGCUCCGUCAGAU
rnacentral:SRP_RNA from 1 species